rnacentral:rRNA from 1 species
UGGGGAAUCUUGCGCAAUGGGCGAAAGCCUGACGCAGCGACGCCGCGUGGGGGAAGAAGGCCUUCGGGUUGUAAACCUCUUUCAGCAGGGACGAAGCCACUCGGGUGAAUAGCCCAGAGGGUGACGGUACCUGCAGAAGAAGCCCCGGCUAACUACGUGCCAGCAGCCGCGGUAAUACGUAGGGGGCAAGCGUUGUCCGGAUUUAUUGGGCGUAAAGAGCGUGUAGGCGGCCAGACAGGUCCGUUGUGAAAACUAGAGGCUUAACCUCUAGACGUCGAUGGAAACCGUCUGGCUAGAGUCCGGAAGAGGAGAACGGAAUUCCUGGUGUAGCGGUGAAAUGCGCAGAUAUCAGGAAGAACACCCGUGGCUAAGGCGGUUCUCUAGUACGGUACUGACGCUGAGACGCGAAAGCGUGGGGAGCGAACAGGAUUAGAUACCCUGGUAGUCCACGCCGUAAACGAUGGGUGCUAGGUGUGGGGGUGUCGACUCCCCCGUGCCGAAGCUAACGCAUUAAGC